rfam:Peptoanaerobacter stomatis strain OBRC8 ctg120007290647, whole genome shotgun sequence.
GGAUCCAUAGCUCAGCUGGGAGAGCAUCUGCCUUACAAGCAGGGGGUCACAGGUUCGAGCCCUGUUGGGUCCA